rnacentral:rRNA from 1 species
AUGUUUUGCACGCACAGCGGCGCGACUGCUAGGAUUGAGGCUGAUUUAACUUUGACGGCUUACAUCGCCUGGCAUCUCUGGAAGGAGAGAAACAGAAGAGUUUUUGAAGAUAAGGAGCUGACUCCUCGGGCCGUGGCGAGCCUGAUUAGUGAUGAUAUUAAAUUGCUUAACGAGGCUUUGAAUCCUCCCACUAUGGCUGAGCGAUAG